AGUGCCCCCUAUGGGGCGAACAGGCCAGAUGGCUGCACUGGGUGCUGCAGUGAGCCCAUAGAAGGCUUUUUAUUGUUUCCAACAACUUUGGAAGAAUAAUAUCCAGCAUAAUGGAAGGAAUUCCUAGCUGGGUGGUUGAGUUGCAUAGGUGCUCCUCUCGUGAUCUGGGCUUCCCUACAAGAAAUGGCUCAAGGAGUCCUUCAGGCUGCACUAAAUAGUAACUGGAAUCCACACAAAGAAAUAAAGCACACACUAAAGAUUAGCCCUGAGCUAACUGCUGCCAAUCCUCCUGCUUUUGCUGAGGAAGACUGGCCCUGACCUAACAUCCGUGCCCAUCUUCCUCUACUUUAUAUGUGGGACGCCUACCACAACAUGGCUUGCCAAGCGGUGCCAUGUCUGCACCUGGGAUCCAAACCGGUGAACCCCGGGCCGCCAAAGAGGAAUGUGAGCACUUAACUGCUGCGCCACUGGGCUGUCC
rnacentral:lncRNA from 1 species